CCGAGUCAUUCCCAGCCGUCCGAUUCGUAUGCGCGAGUGGUAGAUAAGCACAGGCAAAAACCUAGCCGACAUUCCAUCGUUCGCACCCAUCCCCUUCGCCUGCUUCCCCCCGCAGUCGCCGCCGCCGCCGCCCCCUCCCUUUCUCUCGCGCUCACCUCUCGCCGUGCUGACCAGCGGUUCCGCCGUCCUUGGUGUCCAAUAUGAGGAGCACGGCCGCCACUUGCGCCCCUGCUGCACUCGCCGAGAACUUGGCGAUUUUUUUCGGCCGUGCUCUUCAGGCGCGAGGUUGGAGGCGGCAUCUCCGACGACGGGGAGCCGGCGAGGUCGCAAGCGAUCCAUGGCGAGCCGGCGAGGACGCACGAUUUCUGGCUCGAAUCGGUAGGUCAACUUCUGCUCAACCACUCCAAAUUCACCCCGCCGGAAAGUGAUCUCCCCGCGGUCCUGCCGGCGUCGAGGAUGUCAUCUACAGCUAGGACGCUGGCACCCAGGAGUAGGAUUCGUGUGAGGGUGAGGCGGAGUUUGAGAAGGAUCCACGGCUCAAACAAUGGCAGUGCGGUACCCUGCCGGCCAUCCUCUCCAUGGACACCGUGGCGGCCACCGCCGUCACCGACCAUGCCGUCAUGUUCGGCACCCACGAUGACACCCUCCAUAUGGGUGCUGGACGCCUGUACCUCCGGUGGAUGCGAGGCACGUCAUUGGUGUAGAGUCGCGAAGAGAAGCUACGGCCCUUGGUGAAGCUCUAUGCCUCACUUGCGUGGAGCACUGCUUCAUCUACCAGCACAUGAAUGCAUGACUUUAUUUGGCCUACCGGAUGUCCCAAUCAGAGGAACAAAGCCUAUGGUUAUUGGGGAAGAUGUGAGGGGCGUUGGUCACCUGUUCUGCUGCAUUUGCUUGAGAGGAUCUACGAGGAUACUCUGAGAAAGGUGGCGUGGAGUCUGUAAGUCAUCUCCAGAUAAAGGGGAAGUGAGUUGCAACAGAUCAUUAAUUUGUCACGUCGACAGGAAGUUUAAUGAAAAUCCAAGCAGGCUGCAUGUGAAAUCAAUCAAGGUAAUCUUUAUGAUGUAGUCAAAGAUAAUUUGUCGCUCUCCUUCAUGUUGUUUCUGCAUAUGUCAUUUAUUUGAUCUUGCAAUUGGAUGAUACAACAGAGCCUCUGUCCUUAACCCGCAAUGUAGCGGAGAAAGAAAUUUCAGUUCUACUCCGAACCAAGUUCACUAAAAGAAGUAGGACAGAUUUGUUGUGUAAGAACUUCCAGUCAAAAUAUUCUGAAAGGAAACAUUUACAUGGUUCCCACCGAAGUUGCAUGCAGAAAAAAUAUCAUAUAACUGCAGUGGCCUGAAUUUGGGCAAAGUACAUGAACAUUGAAAGAAAAAGGUAAGAAGAAAGUGGCGUACAUAAGCAUAGGGUUACCGGAAGAUCACUGAGCUUGUGCUCGCUUCUGAUAGUGGUGGAAUAGUGAAGGUUUCAUUUUUUACCAGGAAAAAUAUGGAUUGUUUGCCAAAUUUUCCGCGAUUGGCAUCUAUCAAGUGUGCCAUUUUGAGCCUCGCAGGAUCUACCAUCUAAGUUGUCUUAUGGAAAUGGAAAAUAUAACAUAAUUGUUGUGAUGAGCUGCAUUGGGUAGUGGUGGGACUCUGUUUGUUAGCAGACUGCUAAAGCCUGCACCUUUUCUGUAGUGUUUUAUGAAUAAUUUUCCGAAUUCAAGACAUGUUUAUCAGAGCAAAAAUCAUGGUUAUAUCUCAUGGUGUUGUUAUAUGAUUUGUCAUCCUAUGAGUGAAGAUAAAUGUAAUAUAAGAAAUUGCUACCUCCCUUGAACAUUAGGAUUAGUGCUAAACAAAAUGAAUAGACUGCAAUAUUAUUCACGAUGAUGAUAUUAAUUUUAGUCGUGUUGGUUCUAAAUAAUUGCUCUAUUUCUCAGUGAACUAACAUAUCCUUUUGAUGGAUGAUUGGCGUGCUUAAGUUUUCUGACCUCUUCUAGCAGGUAAAUAUGCUUAAGCAGUAUCUACCUCUACUGGGAGCGCCAAUUGCCAUGCAUAUGGGUUCAUUUCUGCCCUAGAUAACGUUUUUCAAUCCUCUGAUUUGACAUUUUCAUGUGGACUCCUUCAAAUUAAGGAAGUGACAGAAGUUUCAGCGUUAUUAGAUGAAAAAUACAACGAAAUGCAACAAUGGUCCUUAUCUCCUGAAGUUGUGUACAUUUCUCUCCAUUUCAAGGGUAAUGAGAACAGAUUAGAAAACCUCAUUUAUUUGUUCUACCAAAUGAUCUUAGGGAACUUUUAGGACAUGCAGAUAUCGAAUUAGCUACUAAUGGGCCACAUGUCAUGAGAACUUAUAAUUUAUUUGAUUCAAUCUACAAUUUUUAUUGCAUUGGUCGAUUGUUUGCUCAAGGAAGUCCUCGCCAACAUGUCAACCGUGAAGUGUGUUAGGUUUUUAUCUUCUAUUGGGGUUAUUGCUAUUUUUCUAUAUCCUUUGCUGUACACAUUAAUGUAGUUUAACUUUUGAAGUCUCGUCAUUUUUUACCACAACAUCAUGUCUGAUGAUAUUAGUUCUGAAGAUGAUAUGAAAGGUAAAUCCCUAUUCUAAGUAUUGGGGUUACUGAAUUCGUUCUGUGUACCGCAGGUCCCAUCGACGACUCCUGUUUGGUGUCGGCUAGCUGACAACCCUAGGGCUAUGCAAAUCAAUAUAGGCCCCUCCUUCGUCGCGUCGACUAUUGGGGUUGUUGCUCGUGACCAUGCUGGUUCUGUUAUGGUGGUGUCAAGCUGGGCCAUUAGAAAUUAUUGAGACUCUGAGAAGCGAAACCAAUGCUAUUAUGUUGCAUUCAGCUCACCAUUGAUCAUGACCUAACACGUCUGCCAUGGAAUCAGACUGCGUUGUGGAUGUUAAUGCAGUAAACAAGGCAUCUGGAAAUUUCUCCUGAUGCUGGAGCUUGUAUGAAGACAUCAGUAGAACAAAAAUAUCAGGUGCCUGGUGUUCAGCAAAGUGACAGCUCAUUAUUUCUUCUUUAGAUAGAUUAGUGGAGAGAGCAACGAUUGGUUGCCCCCUUCACGUCUGCUUUUGCUUCUUUGUAUGACUGAGAUUUUGUAAACACUUUGUAUAUUAACAUAUGAGCCCUCGUUUCCCUAAAAAAAGAUGAUGAUUGUGCCGCA